UGCCUACGGGAGGCUGCAGCAGGGAAUAUUGCACAAUGGACGGAAGUCUGAUGCAGCGACGCCGCGUGGACGAAGAAGGCCUUCGGGUUGUAAAGUCCUUUUCAGGGGGAAGAGACAGGACGGUACCCUUGGAAUAAGCGUCGGCUAACUACGUGCCAGCAGCCGCGGUAAGACGUAGGACGCGAGCGUUAUCCGGAUUUACUGGGCGUAAAGCGUCUGUAGGCGGAACAGUAAGUUGGGCGUGAAAGCUUCGGGCUUAACCCGGAGAGGACGUACAAGACUGCUGAACUAGAGGCCACCAGAGGGGCGUGGAAUUUCCGGUGUAGCGGUAAAAUGCGCAGAUAUCGGAAGGAACACCAGUGGCGAAGGCGGCGCCCUGGGGUGGGCCUGACGCUAAGAGACGAAAGCUAGGGGAGCGAACAGGAUUAGAUACCCUUGUAGUCU
rnacentral:rRNA from 1 species